rnacentral:rRNA from 1 species
GAUGAACGCUAGCGAUAGGCCUAACACAUGCAAGUCGAGGGGCAGCAUAGAGUAGCAAUACUUUGAUGGCGACCGGCGCACGGGUGAGUAACACGUAUGCAACCUACCUACAUCAGGGGAAUAACCCGGAGAAAUUCGGACUAAUACCGCAUAAUACAGGGAUGCCGCAUGGCAAUAUUUGUUUAAGAUUUAUCGGAUGUAGAUGGGCAUGCGUUCCAUUAGCUAGUUGGUGAGGUAAAGGCUCACCAAGGCAACGAUGGAUAGGGGAACUGAGAGGUUUGUCCCCCACACUGGAACUGAGACACGGACCAGACUCCUACGGGAGGCAGCAGUGAGGAAUAUUGGUCAAUGGACGAGAGUCUGAACCAGCCAAAUCGCGUGAAGGAAGACUGCCCUACGGGUUGUAAACUUCUUUUGUACAGGAAUAAAAGACAUUACGUGUAAUGUAUUGCAUGUACUGUACGAAUAAGCAUCGGCUAACUCCGUGCCAGCAGCCGCGGUAA